rnacentral:rRNA from 1 species
UUUGAGUGAGUGGCGGACGGGUGAGUAACACGUGGGUAACCUGCCCUAAAGUGGGGGAUAACAUUUGGAAACAGAUGCUAAUACCGCAUAAAACCUAGCACCGCAUGGUGCAAGGUUGAAAGAUGGUUUCGGCUAUCACUUUAGGAUGGACCCGCGGUGCAUUAGUUAGUUGGUGAGGUAAAGGCUCACCAAGACCGUGAUGCAUAGCCGACCUGAGAGGGUAAUCGGCCACACUGGGACUGAGACACGGCCCAGACUCCUACGGGAGGCAGCAGUAGGGAAUCUUCCACAAUGGACGAAAGUCUGAUGGAGCAACGCCGCGUGAGUGAAGAAGGUUUUCGGAUCGUAAAACUCUGUUGUUGGAGAAGAACGUAUUUGAUAGUAACUGAUCAGGUAGUGACGGUAUCCAACCAGAAAGCCACGGCUAACUACGUGCCAGCAGCCGCGGUAAUACGUAGGUGGCAAGCGUUGUCCGGAUUUAUUGGGCGUAAAGCGAGCGCAGGCGGUUUCUUAAGUCUGAUGUGAAAGCCUUCGGCUCAACCGAAGAAGUGCAUCGGAAACUGGGAAACUUGAGUGCAGAAGAGGACAGUGGAACUCCAUGUGUAGCGGUGAAAUGCGUAGAUAUAUGGAAGAACACCAGUGGCGAAGGCGGCUGUCUGGUCUGUAACUGACGCUGAGGCUCGAAAGCAUGGGUAGCAAACAGGAUUAGAUACCCUGGUAGUCCAUGCCGUAAACGAUGAGUGCUAGGUGUUGGAGGGUUUCCGCCCUUCAGUGCCGCAGCUAACGCAUUAAGCACUCCGCCUGGGGAGUACGACCGCAAGGUUGAAACUCAAAGGAAUUGACGGGGGCCCGCACAAGCGGUGGAGCAUGUGGUUUAAUUCGAAGCAACGCGAAGAACCUUACCAGGUCUUGACAUCCUUUGACCACUCUAGAGAUAGAGCUUUCCCUUCGAGGACAAAGUGACAGGUGGUGCAUGGUUGUCGUCAGCUCGUGUCGUGAGAUGUUGGGUUANGUCCCGCAACGAGCGCACCCUUAUUACUAGUUGCCAGCAUUUAGUUGGGCACUCUAGUGAGACUGCCGGUGACAAACCGGAAGAAGGUGGGGACGACGUCAAUCUUCUGCCCCUUAUGACUGGGCUACC